UUAGCAGCAAGCAAGUCAGGGUGUCUGACACUAAACUGCCCCAGGUUAGGGGGUCAAGCAAGGGAGACAAGGGCCAAAGGGAGUAUGGAGAGCCACAGGUCUCAUCCCAAAGCCACAGGAAGUGUCAUCUGCACACCUGGCCAAACCCUGAGUUCCUAGGUGGGACACAGAGGAUGUAGAUAUUCCCUUGGUCCUGGGAACUCACGACCUCGUUGGUGAAUCAGACCCACAGAGGGGCAACUCAGGCAACUGUGGGAGCCCAGGGAACCCUGACCCAGCCUGAGGCAUCAGAGAAGCCUUCAGGGGGAUACAGGGCCUGCCUGGACCUGAAAAGGUGCACAGUCAAGUGAAAAGGGGUGAGGACGACUUGGAGGCAGAGGGAACAAAGUGCGCCCAAGGCUCUGAGGCUGGAGUGAGGUAUCUGAGGAGAUGGCAGCGGCAUGUAACUUGCAGAGAAGUUAUCAGCUUUGCACAUGGCUAUAUCCCUGGAACCUAGAAUAGUGCCUGAUUGCUUUCUCCAGCAAGAUGGACCUGGACAUGGUAUGUUGAGCUGUGCAGAAGUCAUGAUGAUGAUGAUAGCAGCCCAGCAGGUGAGCCAGGAGAGCCACACAGCUGACAACAGGCACACAGAGCUUGGGCAACACUGCUGGGCCUCACAGUUCUCUUCAGGAGUGGGGAGGCCAGGAGCCCCACACCCAUCUCCUUGCAGCCCUGGAAAAGCUCAACAAGCUAGCACAGGCUUCUCCAGGAAAGACGCAUUUAUAUGCCUAACCCGGGAACGGGACGUUCACGGAAACGAAGCCAUUUGCAAAGGAACCUAACAGAGUCCUGACUCCCCAAGUCACAGCCUCCGAGGAAAAUCGGAAUGGCAGCCGCAGUCAUCCUGGAUGUCCACCUGUCUUUUGCUUCCCCUCCCCCCUCUCCCUUCCACCCUCCCUCCCCAACAUUGCCAGCAACUCCUGUUGACUCCAGCAGCUUCUCCACACCCCUAUGGCCCCCUGGGUGUCCAGCCACCAUCCUCUCUCCGCCCCACCCCAGCCUAUUGCAGUCGCAUCCUCACCCCCAGCCUUGUCCUGCUACACAGCUGGCACAGCCGCAGCUGCCAGCGUGAUUGUUGUAAGCUACCUUUUGUGUUAAAAGGACAGAAAAAGCAGAACAGGAUUAUACGAGCUAGUAUUUGCAUGACGAAGCCACCCUAUCCUGGUAGCUGUGAUAAGAGUUUGGAGGUGUAGUCCAAAGCCUGUAUAGUUGGGGGUGGUCCCCUUAAGAAAAUGAAUAGAAAAUUAGGUACAAAAGGUGAGAUUUAGAAUGAGAAAAGGAGUCACAGAAAAUGAGAAAUUUUAGAAAGCUGAGAAAUGGCACAAACAUCCAAAAAUCCAGAAAAAUAACACAAUAUUUUUAUCAAUCGCCUGUCUGACAUACCUUUAUAAUCCUUUCCUCCAACAUUUCAUUGAUCGCCUUCAUAUGACGACAAUUUUUUCAUUGUGUG